rnacentral:rRNA from 1 species
AUGAGUACAAAUUUCUGCAAUGUGUUAUCAUGGAAUGUGAGAGGCCUCAACACCCCAGCUAGACGUACGACGAUCAACGAGGUAGCAGUUACACAUAAGGCAGUGAUUCUCACAAUACAAGAAACAAAGACCGAGCAAUGGUCACCUACCUUAGUCAGGGAGAUUGGUGGAUCUGCGCUGCAAGGGUGUGUAGUGCUGCCCGCCCUGGGUACUAGGGGAGGAGCGGCUAUUCUCUGGAACAAAGACUGGGUCUCGAUCGCAUCACAUGCAAUUGGCAGAUUCACAAUCACCGCAAAGGUCACAGAAAUCAGGAAUAAUUAGCAAUGGUGGCUCACAAUAGCAUAUGGCCCAACCGACGAUGCCCUCAAAGAAGAUUUUCUGCAAGAUAUUGCCACCAACGCGCCACCAGCAGGAGAGCCCUGGUUAAUCACUGGAGAUUUCAACAUAAUUUAUGAAGCAAGGGACAAGAGCAAUUUGAACAUGAAGAGGAGAAUAAUGGGAAGAUUUAGAAAAGCCCUUGAUCAAGCGGGCCUCAAAGAGAUCAAGUGCCAAAACAGAUGUUUCACUUGGAGCAAUGAAAGAGAACAACCAACUUUCUACAACAUUGACAAGUUUUUUUGUAAUGUGGAAUGGGAAACGACCCACGGAGGCUCCAUUCUGAACGCUGCAGCAACCUCUGUCUCUGACCACUGUGUCGGGUGGUAG